rnacentral:rRNA from 1 species
UAACGCGUAGGUAACCUGCCUUGUAGCGGGGGAUAACUAUUGGAAACGAUAGCUAAUACCGCAUAACAAUGGAUGACCCAUGUCAUUUAUUUGAAAGGGGGCAAAUGCUCCACUACAAGAUGGACCUGCGUUGUAUUAGCUAGUAGGCGAGGUAACGGCUCACCUAGGCGACGAUACAUAGCCGACCUGAGAGGGUGAUCGGCCACACUGGGACUGAGACACGGCCCAG